UGAUAUGUUUCGUUUUAACAAUGUCAAUUUGGAUCCCUUAACAGAAACAUAUGGACUCUCCUUUUACUUGCAAUAUCUUGCUCAUUGGCCUGAGUACUUUCAAGUUGCUGAAGCCCCAAAUGGAGAUAUUAUGGGAUACAGUAGAUGUACAGUUCUCAGGCAAAAGAUUCCGUGGUGAUCAUGAUAAAGAAGUCAUGCAUAUAUCAUUGGAAAAUCCUUAUAGGUACUGUUUGAAUGUUUAAUAAUAAUUACUUAAAGUACUAUUGUAACUGAAGAUAAUUUUAUGGAUUAUGCUAUCUUUGACUCCCUUUCAUUGACUACUCUACAAGGUGUGAUAAGUCUAGGAAACUGACAAACCUUGGACUACAUUAAGAAGAAAAAAGCAUUAUCAUAAUGGGAAAAGCAGAAGGUCAUGGAGAAAAUUGGCACGGACAUGUGACUGCACUUACUGUUGCUCCUGAUUAUCGUAGGUUAGGACUUGCUGCCACAUUGAUGGUUGGACUGGAAGAUGUAUCUGAAAAGUA